CAUUUUAGCUUAAGGUACUUUGGCACAAAGUACCAAAUGUGAGUACUGAUCCUGAAGAGUCUACUUACAUUAUGCUUAAAACAUUACAAAUGGCACUCCAAGGGUCGAAUUCUGGAGAUUUUCAAGUUUAAGAGACUCAUGCAUGACCCAUCUCCAGGGAAUCUGACUCACUACAUCUGGACUAAACCAAGGCACCUUUAUUUUUAAAAAGCCACAUAGGGGCAAGCAGGGCAGGCUACCAAAUGCUUGUCUAGCGAUCCAGAAGAGGAGCUGAAGAGUCUUUACAAACAGACUUGACCUGUUUCAUCACCAGUCAUAGGUUGCUCUUAUUUGCAGAAGUGUUUGCCGACACAUCAUACUUCUUUGCUUCCCUGGCCCUGAAAGCUUUCACCGAAAAUAAUUUCCUCGUGCUCUGUUCUGUGGUCUGCAGACUUCUAAAUAUUUCCUGCAUCUCAGUGUCUUGGAAAUUGAUGUUAAACUGCAUAUCUUAAUUUUUGACCGUUGUCAUCCAUCUUCUGUCUUGAAUUGUAAAGACCCCAAUGACAUUUUUAAGGUGGUAAAUUUGCCAUUUCUGUUCACCUUUGGUUCCCUUGGGGACUGAGUACCUCAUUUGACCCCUUUUUACUAUAAACAAACUGAUAUUUAAAUCUGGAGGUCCCUCAAAAGACCACAGAAGCAUGAGAGCUGAGAGAUAACGUGGCAUAACCUGCCUUUCUGGGAGCCCCAGCCUCCCUCUUUCUCAUUCAUUCAGCAACCGUGUGCACUGAGUCCCAGCUGUAAUCCAGGUAUAGCACUUAGCCUAAGGCACAGUCGUGAGGACAUCUGCUCUCAGAGUUGACAAUCCAUUGGGAGACCAACUAUAAACAUGAAAAUGCUUCAAGGAGAAGCAGAGGCUGCUGUGAAAGGAGGAAGUGGUCAAACCUGGACUGAAGAAUCAGAAAAGGCUUCUCAGAAGAAGUGACAUGUUGGCAGCUGAGUCUUGUAGUGUGAGCAGGAAUCAGCCAGGUGACUAUCUUGUCACUCUGAGGUGUCCAGUCCCUGCAUUUCCUAGACUCCAGAAUAUACCCACAAUCUUGUGUCUCAUCCUAACUCUCCUUUCUUGGGAAACAGUGCAUUUCCCCUAGGCACCCCUCAUUUCAACUCCCAUAAUAAAAAAUUAAAUCAUUUCUCA